GAUGAACGCUGGCGGCGUGCCUAAUACAUGCAAGUCGAGCGAAUGGACGAGAAGCUUGCUUCUCUGAUGUUAGCGGCGGACGGGUGAGUAACACGUGGAUAACCUACCUAUAAGACUGGGAUAACUUCGGGAAACCGGAGCUAAUACCGGAUAAUAUUUUGAACCGCAUGGUUCAAAAGUGAAAGACGGUCUUGCUGUCACUUAUAGAUGGAUCCGCGCUGCAUUAGCUAGUUGGUAAGGUAACGGCUUACCAAGGCAACGAUGCAUAGCCGACCUGAGAGGGUGAUCGGCCACACUGGAACUGAGACACGGUCCAGACUCCUACGGGAGGCAGCAGUAGGGAAUCUUACGCAAUGGGCGAAAGCCUGACGGAGCAACGCCGCGUGAGUGAUGAAGGUCUUCGGAUCGUAAAACUCUGUUAUUAGGGAAGAACAUAUGUGUAAGUAACUGUGCACAUCUUGACGGUACCUAAUCAGAAAGCCACGGCUAACUACGUG
rnacentral:rRNA from 1 species